ACCCACAUGCACACACCCCAAUAUUGUUAGUGCCACAAGCUGUGUGUUUCCGAGAAAGUUUUUGUGGUGCAUCUGAACACACCAGUAUAUACUUGAUCUACAUUUUGGCAUUUUUACAACCACAACCAAGAACUCUGUUUAAAGAAAAAGCCUAGAAAAUGUGGCUGAGGGAUAAAGAAAGAGAAGAACAGAUGACCUGACGGCCUAGAGUUAAACAACUUCCCACCCUUUAUAACCUUACAGAGAACGGAUGACUCUCCCCACUCUACGGAGGAGGAAACUGCCCCUUGAAGCGUCAAAUGUCUUCUCCAGGGUCCUUUAGCCAGCACCGGGCAGAGCGAGGAUUACAUCAUCUUCACAACAACUCUGUAGCAACAAACACUGUGUGGACCAACUCUGAAGCUGCCCUGAGUAACUCUAGGGUAGAGCAUCAUCCAAGUAGGUGGUCUGGAUACAGAGAUGUCAGUAAGGCUGCUCAUGUGAACCAGACCAAGAAUGGAAAAGACAGGGGGCUGGCCCCGUGGCCCAGUGGUUAAGUUCA